GACGGCGUGCCUAACACAUGCAAGUCGUACGAGAAAGCCGGCUUCGGCUGGUGAGUAAAGUGGCGCACGGGUGAGUAACGCGUGGAUAAUCUGCCCUUAAGUGUGGAAUAACGUACCGAAAGGUGCGCUAAUACCGCAUAAUGCCUGGCAACACAAGUUGUCCGGCCAAAAAGGCCUCUGUUUACAAGCUUUCGCUUCAGGAUGAGUCCGCGUACCAUUAGCUUGUUGGUGGGGUAAUGGCCUACCAAGGCUGCGAUGGUUAGCUGGUCUGAGAGGAUGAUCAGCCACACUGGAACUGAGACACGGUCCAGACUCCUACGGGAGGCAGCAGUGAGGAAUAUUGCGCAAUGGGGGCAACCCUGACGCAGCAACGCCGCGUGAGUGAGGAAGGUUUUCGGACUGUAAAGCUCUGUCGAGCGGGAAGAAGUGUACCAUGGCUAAUAUCCAUGAUAUUUGACGGUACCGCUAGAGGAAGCACCGGCUAACUCCGUG
rnacentral:rRNA from 1 species